CGAAUCCCUGCACUGCACUAGCACUUGCACCGGCCGACGCACACUCCCCCCUCCGCUCCCGCUUGCUCCCCAGAUCUGAGCCCCCUCCCGGUCGCGCCGCAGCUCCCCUAAUCCGCGCGCGCAAACCCUAAGCCCACGCGAUCCCAAUGCGCAGGGGGCCCGGCGGCGAGGCGUCGCUCCGCCGGCGCCGCGGGCCGGCGCGGCUCUGGGUGGCCUUGGCGGCGCUAGCGACCGGCACUAUCUGGCUCUGCUCCUCCUCCUCCGUCGGCCUGUUCGGCGCACUGUACAGGGUCCAGGUGCGAUCGCCACGGCCGCCGCCUGCUUUCUUAGCGUGCGGCUCUUGGUUUCGGUGUGCGCCUGUGCGGUCUACUCUGCUUGACCUAUGGAGUAAUGGUUGAUGGCAUUGGCAUGGUUGUGUUGUUCCUGCUCAUUAGUAGCCAUUUGGGUGCUCUUUACAUUAGUUAGAACUUGGAGCUCCUUUGAAGUAAUUCCACCCUGGGUGUAUGCCAUGUUGGGUUCUGUUGCUGCUUGAAUCCCCAUUAAUUAAGAUGCGCACUUGGGACUCAGAAUAUUUGCAUUACUAUCUAUAUUCAUUAAUUAAGAUCAAAUCAACACAAGUUUGAUCCCAUCUGUUUUGUUGUGGCAUAUCUGUGUAGCUACAAAGGUUUAUAGCACGGUUAAAAAGCUCGGCAAGUAUUCUUUUGAGUGGAUCAAGAUACAUUGCUUGGUUACAGUAUGUCAAGGUUGAGGACAAGGAGCCGCACGAAAUGUGACAAAUAUUACUGAAUUCUAGAUCCAUGAUGAUAUUAAGUUUACAUGGAUUACAAUUCUCACCACAAAAAUAAGGAUGUUGAUGUAAAUAAGUUGUGGAGAACUGCACAUUCAAAUGGUUGGAGAGCAUCCUCUGCACCACGCACCUAUUGGCCUCCCCCACCAACUGAGUCUGAGAGUAGUGGGUACUUGCGUGUCCGAUGCAACGGUGGCUUGAACCAACAACGUAGUGCAAUAUGUAAUGCUGUUGUUGCUGCACGAAUCAUGAAUGCUACACUAGUACUACCAGAGAUAGACACAAAUUCAUUUUGGCAUGAUGAGAGUGGUUUCGUAGGCAUUUAUGAUGUUCCCCACUUCAUCAAGAGAUUGAAAUAUGAUGUUCGAAUUGUUAUGAGCAUUCCAGAAAUCACUGCAAAUGGAAAGACCAAGAAGCUCAAGGCACAUCAGGAGCAUACUAUACUCAUGGGACACUCUUCAUCAUAACAGAUUCGACCACCUAGAGAUGCGCCAGUAUCUUGGUAUGCAACAGUCGCUUUGGAGAAGAUGAAGAAAUAUGGGGCUGUAUAUUUAACUCCAUUUUCACACCGUUUGGCAGAAGAUAUUGAUGAUCCAGAGCUUCAGAGAUUGAGAUGCAGGGUGAAUUAUCACGCACUCCGAUUCAAGCCACAUAUCAUGAAAACAAGCAGUGAGAUAGUGAACAAGCUCCGCUCAGAAGGCCAUUUCAUGUCAAUUCAUCUUCGUUUUGAGUUGGAUAUGCUUGCAUUUGCCGGGUGCAUUGACAUAUUCACGCCUCAUGAACAGAAAAUUCUGUUGAAGUACAGGAAAGAACAUUUUGCAGAAAAGUUACUUAUCCCCGGGGAGAGAAGGCUCAUUGGAAAGUGCCCUUUAACUCCAGAAGAGGUAGGUCUUAUUCUACGUGCUAUGGGAUUUGACAAUAAAACACGCAUUUACCUUGCUUCUGGUGAGCUCUUUGGUGGGAAACGCUUCAUGAAGCCAUUCAAGGCUAUGUUUCCACGCCUAGAGAACCACAGCACUGUUGGACCUGGAAAGCUGGAAGAAAAUACCCAAGGGCUAGCAGGAUCGGCAGUUGAUUACAUGGUCUGCCUGCUAUCAGACAUUUUUAUACCCACAUAUGAUGGCCCAAGCAAUUUUGCAAACAACCUCAUGGGCCACCGCAUGUACUACGGUUUCCGGACCACGAUCACACCAAACAGGAAGGCCCUUGCCCCGAUCUUCAUCGACAGGGCACAAGGCCGUUCCACUGGCUUUGAGCAAAGGAUCAGGCAAGUCAUGUUCAACACACAUUUCGGUGGCCCCCACAAGCGAAUCCAUCCAGAAUCUUUCUACACAAACUCGUGGCCAGAGUGCUUCUGCCAGACUAAUGCUAGGAACCAUGCAGACCGGUGCCCACCUGAUAACAUAAAUGAUGUUCUCGAAAGUCAGUUCCAGAGCGAAGAAGAAAUGGAAGAAGCGAGAACAACUAAUCAGACUGACUCAACCGGCCAAACAGAAGAGCUGAUGAUUUGACUGAGGUAGCUAAGGAUUACUGCUUGAGAACAUAUUGGGCACUUGGAUCGUUCCAAGCGGACUAGGUUACAUUUUUGGAGGAAUGGAUCAAUUGAUGGAUGAUGAUCAACUAUUGGCAAUUCUGUUUGAUUGGAGCUGUUGACAUGUCAAGGUUGUAAUCCAGGGAGGGUCGAGCCAGAUUUUGGGCACGUCUGGCCAUAUAGGGUUUUGAUGGAGCUGUUAGAUUGGAUGCACCGAUAGUUGGUUUUGAUGGAGCUGUUAGAUUGGAUACGUGGAUAGUUGGUUUUGGAGCUGUUAGAUUGGAUACGUGGAUAGUUUUCACCUCAUUGAUGAGUGCUGAGUGUUGUGGAUUAUGAAACCUUAUGCAUAUCGAUAGUUUUCACCUCAUUGACGAGGGCAGAGUGGUGUGAAUUAUGUGGCAGCAACAACAUUCGGGAGCCUUUACACGAUAUGCUAUGUCAGACUGUUUAGUGGCUCCGGUUCUACCAGCUUUAUGCUGUACCCCUCUAUGUUUGCACUAAUUAUAUUGCUUCAUCUUGUUUCUGGAGGCUGGAGGGGCUAUUCCUUUUCUGUGGAGCUUUCCUGGAAUAUUCUCGCUUGUUGCUGGCCAAAUUAAGGUUUCAAAAAAAUGUUUAUCUUUGUGCUCUCUGUACGCUAUUUUUUUUUCUUGUAUCUCGUGACCUGUACAUGACGGAUGGGAGCUCAUGUUGAACAAGAACACUGCAUAUUGCCAAGACUUUGGUAGUAAUUGUUCAAGAAAUCAACCAAGAAAAUAUUGAAAAUA